CGGUAGAGGCCUCCCUUCCGAGAAGGCGGCUCGGACGUCGAGGGCUGGGGCUCCGCUGCCCGGCUUGUCCUCCUGGCGCCGUCCCGGCGCGGCCGGGCCCAGCGCGGCCCUUGCCCACCUGCUCUCCUCCCCCUGCAGGCGGCGGCACCCGACUUCUGAGGCUUCUAAUGUGAGGAAAAACACGGAAUGACAAGUGUGGGAAAGAGCGAGCACUAAAUUACUGUCAGAAAAAUAAACGGAGUAGCACAGUGGUGCUCAGUGAUUUACGGGGGCAAUUAGUCACCACCCCAUGGCGCUGCUGAGGACAGCAAGGCAGCAGGCACGUCAGGCCCACGAGGAAGAAGAGACUUUGCGCUGCUCUACAGACAACUUUUCAAACAACGAACAACAAGCACUUCAGCAUAUUAGGCUCCAUGUCUUCAGUCUGGUUGGAGAAUGUGCCCCAACAUGUGCUACCUUUGGUCUCCAGUCAAAUGAGCAGGAGGCAGAACCAUAAUGAUGAGCUUGAUACCCAGCCUGGUGAACCAUUCAUUUGAACACCGGAUUUCUGCUGAAGAGGCUCACAAGGAAGAGAAUCCUCAGAUUUCUCUUGCUACUCUUCUGUUACUAGGCUUUGUUCCCCUUGAAUUCUGUAAGCAUACAGUUUUAAAAACAAGUAACAACAAACUCUAAGAUGUGACAUAGAGUUGUACAUUUGCACCUGAAGAGGCACUGGUUUUCUACUUUUCUAACAAAAACAGCAAACCUGACCAGGGAAGGGAGACAGAUGUGUUUCUCUACAACAGCAUGGGCCUAUGAAAUUGUUCACAUCUGAUGCAGAUACCAGAAAUAAGGGCCGGGGAGAUGGCUCAGUGGAACAAGUGUGUACCUGGAAAGCACAAUGGCCUGAGUUCAAUCCCCAGUUCCGCAAAUAAAUAAGUAAAUAAUAAGAUAUCAGAGAUAAUUCAACAUGGAAACUUAACCAAAAUUAUUUUCUAUCCAUGAAUAAAGUACAUUUUAAAGUGCAUGAAGUAUGCUUAGAUUUCUCUUUUUUCUAAAGUCACAUUGUAGUUUCUGGCAGAGGAACAUACUGGGAGAACUCCUGACAUUUAAAAAAACAUUCAAGAUAUGACAUUAUAAAAAAUAUCCCUAUAUGGAGGGAGCUUUUUAUAUACAUGUUAUUUUUGUUUAAAAAUUAUGUGCUAGUGAAGGAUGAAAAUGACCUUGGCUUUUAUAAUUAUUUAUUGAUAAAAAUGAUAGGCUUUAAUGUUUGGAUUCAAAUCUUUAUUAGUCAUGCAAAUUUCAUUUCAAAGAAAAGAUUUAGAUUGCAGCUUGAAAAUAGGAGGCUGGGGCUUGCUACGUGCUCCUGUGUCUGUUCAGAAUAUUUAUGCAAUAUUCAGACUUGGCUAUAAUAUAUAAUUCUUAGCUAUUAUUUCAGUUGCAACAAUAAUUUUUAGAUUAAUGAUUAUAGUUUUGGUAAGGCAUACAGGAGAAGUUAUAUAUUCAUGCUUGAAAGGAGGGUCAUUAAAUAUUCAUUAUUACCCCUCAAAUUAGUUGUCAUGCUCUAUGUAACAGUUACCCAUUAUCAUUUCACUAGUUUAGAUUCAGUAAUAAGUGAAUAGCUCCUAGCAGUAAAGGAAUCUGGGGGUGGUAGAUGAGGAACAGGGAGGGAAAUGAUUUUAAAAUCCAUUUGACAUUUAUGUUGACAAGUUAUUUAAAGGAGUUACUGUGUUGUCA